GUCGACAAAAGAGGUCAGCUUCAACUCAGAUGGAGUUUCCUAACAGAUUCCACAGUCAAUUUCAUUUCCACUCUGGCGGUUUGUACGUCGCCUGCUGCGUCUACCUCGAGGCUUACCAUGCUCGGUCCAGCGCAGCAGCAGAACGUGUCUGCGCUCAAACUGUACAGUGGUCGUGCAAUUUCUAAAGUAGAAUAUCUUCAAAUAAAAGUAUGAGAUGGUUGUUUGAAAUCCACCGCUUUCUUUGUUCUUAAGCAGCCCAGUGGGGUGGUCGCGUACAACAGUCAUAAAGAAAUUGGUUGUCAGUCUGUCGUAAGAGAGUCAUAUUCAGUAUGCUAAACCUUGCGCAUCUUUACAUCCCUUUUAAUAAUAUGCAGGGCCGAGUCUUCCUUGUGCAACUUGGUUGUUAGUCGGCUAGUGUGGAAGCGCUCGUGAGUUCCAGCGCUGGAGAUACGUACCAGAUAUAUUAGAAGACGGAGCUGCAAUACGCUCGACGUUUUCCAAUGGAUACACUUCAAUGCUAACUCACUACAGAUCAUGGGAGUGCAGAAAAUUCCAUGUGGAAUGCGGUUCACGGAGGACAAGGGGCCUUCACUGAUUUUAUUUAUUCUGAUGGGAUGUGUUGUUCAUUUUUAGCAGGCAGGGACCGUUGUUUGAAAAGAACUUGGUUAUGUGUACUGCUUGAAUGAGCACACUCCCUAUCAGGCCCGUCCAGGACGUCUGAUUAGGUCAAACAGAAAGAUGCUUCUUGAAUGCGAAGCACGCUAGUGGAGCCUAACUUCGUCUCACUGAUGGACCGUAAUUCCCUCUGUCUUAGGUCCGAUGACAUUCAGGCCCGUGGACACUCCAUGUGUCGAUUGCCGUUCUUCCACUGUGGGCCAAUUUUAUAGCGAACAACUGUACAACGACUUCUUCGUGUCCAUGAGGAUUCCGGAUAAAUGGCGCUUACCGGUGUACAAAACACGACGUCGGCCGAUGCUCUACUUCGGGGUUGACGACUUUUUCUAACUGGCGUUACUGAGUACUCCUUUCCGUAGAGAGGGACUAUUUCACUUAGUCUAAUGGCAUGUAGCAGCGCUAUACGGUCUCGUUUUCGUUAGCAUUCAGCAUCAUCUGUGCAGCUUCAAAAUGGCACCCAAUCUGUUGCCUCUGCCUCAUCUGGCAACACGCCGGACGAGUUGGUACCCGCUACUUUGACAAGUUUUGCAGUGAUGCCAACAUUGGAGCUCGCUCCAGUAGUCAACACUGGACAUAAAAACCGUGCCAGAGGAAUACAAGAGACAGAUAUCUUGUGUUGGCCAAUAGUGCAAACGGUUUCCCAACAUGAACCAGCGUCUGCUUGGUCCGUUGGAGCGACGUGAGCUUAAUGACAGGCAAACGUCGUGAAUCUGAAAAAAAGCAUUCCUGAUGUCGGCUAUGCGGAGCGAGUCAGUCUCAUGUAUCCAGCAUCGACACUCAAGAGCACCAUGCGAUGUAACAGUGGCUGACGCAAC
rnacentral:lncRNA from 1 species